rnacentral:tRNA from 1 species
ACCGGAUUAGCUCAGUUGGUUAGAGCAUGGUGCUAAUAACGCCAAGGUUACAGGUUCAAUCCCUGCUUACUGCA